rnacentral:rRNA from 1 species
UACGUAGGGGGCAAGCGUUGUCCGGAUUUAUUGGGCGUAAAGAGCGUGUAGGCGGUCAGGUAGGUCCGUUGUGAAAACUCGAGGCUCAACCUCGAGACGCCGAUGGAAACCAUCUGACUAGAGUCCGGAAGAGGAGAGUGGAAUUCCUGGUGUAGCGGUGAAAUGCGCAGAUAUCAGGAAGAACACCCGUGGCUAAGGCGGGUCUCUGGGCCGAUACUGACGCUGAGGAGCGAAAGCGUGGGGAGCGAACAGG